rnacentral:rRNA from 1 species
CUAGGGCUAAUACGUGCGAAGCGCCCGAAGCCGCGAGGCGACGGGCGUUCUCGCCGGAUGUAGGAACCGACCCGGGUACCGCCGGGGCAACCCGGCGCCCCCGAGACGGGGCGAACCACGGUGAAAUGACGGAUCGUCGGCCCCGCGCCGGCGACUCGCCGAAUGAGUUUCUGACCUAUCAACUCGAGACGGCGGGGUAGAGGCCCGCCGCGGUAACGACGGGUAACGGGGAAUCAGGGUUCGAUUCCGGAGAGGGGAGCCCGAGAAACGGCUACCACUUCCAAGGAAGGCAGCAGGCGCGCAACUUACCCUAAUCUCGAUUCGAGGAGGUAGUGACAAGAAAUACCGAUGCGGGACCCUACGGGUGCCGCGUUCGGAAUGAGUACGAUUCGAACCACCUAACGAGGAACGAUCGGAGGGCAAGUCUGGUGCCAGCAGCCGCGGUAAUUCCAGCUCCAAUAGCGU